CAUGAGUAGAGAAGAGCUAGGGUACCCGAGUAGGCCGGGGCACGAGAAAUCCCGGUUGAAUCUGGGGGGACCAUCCCCCAAGGCUAAAUACGAACUCGUGACCGAUAGUGAAUAGUACCGUGAGGGAAAGGUGAAAAGAACGCCUGACGGCGAGUGAAAUAGAAUCUGAAACCGUGUGCAUACAAGCGGUAGGAGCCUGGUCUUAUCUACGGAUGAGACGUGGGUGACUGCGUGCCUUUUGCAUUAUGAUCCGGCGAGUUACUCCUCACGUGCGAGGUUAAGGCCUUAAGGGCUGUAGCCGAAGCGAAAGCGAGUCUGAAAUGGGCGUUUGAGUACGUGGGGGUAGACCCGAAACCGAAGCGAUCUAUCCAUGGCCAGGGUGAAGCCGGGGUAAUACCUGGUGGAGGCCCGAACCGUUGUGGGUUGAAAACUGCUCGGAUGAGCUGUGGAUAGGGGUGAAAGGCCAAUCAAACUCGGAGAUAGCUGGUUCUCCCCGAAAUAUAUUGAGGUAUAGCCUCACGCGAAUACCACCGGAGGUAGAGCACUGGAUGGGCUAGGGGUCCUACCAGAUUACCGAACCCAACCAAACUCCGAAUACCGGUGAGUUCUACGUGGGAGUCAGACUGCGGGCGAUAAGGUCCGUGGUCGAGAGGGAAACAACCCAGACCGCCAGCUAAGGUCCCAAAGUGCAUGCUAAGUGGGAAAGGAAGUGGAAGCGCUCAGACAACCAGGAUGUUGGCUUAGAAGCAGCCACCAUUUAAAAAGUGCGUAACAGCUUACUGGUCUAGUGAGUCUGCGCCGAAAAUGUACCGGGGCUCAAGCAUGCCACCGAAGCUGCGGAGCUGUGUCGCUUUCGAGCGUCACAGUUGGUAGGGGAGCGUUCCAGUAGCCUGCGAAGCUCGACGGAAACGACGGGUGGAGGUCCUGGAAGAGCUUAUGCGGACAUGAGUAGCGAUAAACAAAGUGAGAAUCUUUGUCUCCGUAAACACAAGGUUUCCUGGGCCAGGCUCGUCCUCCCAGGGUUAGUCGGGACCUAAGGCGAGGCCGAAAGGCGUAGUCGAUGGACAUCAGGUUAAUAUUCCUGGACUAAAGUACAAUAUGGGACGCAUGAUGAAGGAUGGCACACAUUAUGAUAUGUGAUUCUAGGCUUCGGCCGAAAUAAGCCAUUUGAAUUUGUGCCGAGAAAACCGUACGUGCCCGUACCAAAACCGACACAGGUAGGUGAGUCGAAUAGACUAAGGAGCGCGAGAGAAAUCUCUCCAAGGAACUCGGCAAAUUAGCCCCGUAACUUCGGGAGAAGGGGUGCCCACUUCGGUGGGCCACAGUAAAUUGGGACUGGCGACUGUUUACCAAAAACACAGCUCUCUGCUAAGUCGUGAAGACGACGUAUAGGGAGUGACACGUGACCAAUGCGGAAAGAUUAAGGUGACUUGUUAGCACUUGAUGCGAAGCUCGGAGCCCAAGUCCCCGUGAAUGUCGGCCGUAACUAUAACGGUCCUAAGGUAGCGAAAUUCCUUGUCGGGUAAGUUCCGACCUGCACGAAUCGUGUAACGACCGGACUGCUGUCUCAGAGAGGAUCUCGGCGAAGUUGUAAUGGCGGUGAAGAUGCCGCCUACCCGCGGUAGGACGGAAAGACCCUAUGCACCUUUACUGUAAGCUGGUAUUGGGUUCUGGACUUUGAUGUGUAGUAUAGGUGGGAGACUUUGAAACCGGUUCGUCAGGGCCGGUGGAGUCACAAUGUGAAAUACCAC
rnacentral:rRNA from 1 species